CCCGCUGAACUUAAGCAUAUUAUUAAGCGGAGGAAAAGAAACUAACUAGGAUUCCCUUAGUAGAGGCGAUUGAACAGGGAGAAGCACAAAAUGUAAAUCGGGCAGCAAUGUCUGAAUUGUAGUCUCACAACGCGUUACCAGGAGUCAUGCAGGGGUAAUUUCUCUGGAACGAGAAACCAAAGAGGGUGACAGUCCCGUUCUUACUCUGUAAUGACUCUAUACGGUGCGUGCUUUAAGAGUCGCGUUCCUUGGGAUUGGAGCGCUAAGUGGGUGGUAAAUUUCAUCUAAUGCUAAAUAUUGGUGGGAGACCGAUAGCGAACAAGUACCGUGAGGGAAAGAUGAAAAGAACUUUGAAAAGAGGGUUAAAAGUGCCUGAAAUUGCUGGUAGGGAAGCGGAUAGAAUUGUCCUUGAUUAGGGGAAUGGCGAUUGAGAAAGCUGAAAAUUUGAGUUCACCGAAAGGGAAUCUCUUAUUGUAGGCCCAAUUGGUCGUCUGUCUUCCUCUAGUCUUAGUUAGCACCGGUUGUGACUGUGUCAAAACCCCUGUUCGUAAGGCCUCGGCUGAGUGGAUAGGUCGGUUGGCACGGAUGCUACCGUUUAUAGUUGCUGACAAACCGAUUCUAUCCGACCCGUCUUGAAACACGG
rnacentral:rRNA from 1 species